rnacentral:lncRNA from 1 species
UGCCAAGGCAAUGACUUCCUGUGGGCACAAUUCAUUUGUAUUGUCACCACCAACAGUCUGUUUGCAGCAGUUGUCCGAAGCUGAGGUUGCCUUCUGUUAGCCGCUUCUCUUGGUUGGACCUGAGCAAUGGGCAGGUGCCAGAGAACCCUGGACAAGAAGAGGCUUCCAGCCGGGUGCUGCAGAAAACUUGUUCUGCAAAAGCAGACAGGAGACGCUGAAUGAAGGACUCUGUUCUCCAACAACAGAUUUCAUCAUUGUGAGGUUCACAUGGGGUGUGUUUUCAUUUUGUUUUUCCCUACAGUUUCAAUCUUCUUUCCUCCCAGAAAGGGUUCUUUUGUGUUUGACCUCGUCCCGACGCGUUGGAA